CGGUGUCCUUAUAAGAAGAGGAAGCAAUGUCCUCCUGGACACAGAGGAGAAGCCAUCUGAAGAUACAGUGAAGACAUAUCUACAAGCCAGAAGAACAUGCCAGAAGCCAACUCUGACAGCAAACUUCAUCUUGGACGUCUAGCCUCCAGAGCUGAGAGAAACAAAUGCCUAUAUGCACCACUCUGUCCUAGCUAGUCUUUGCAAUUCAGGAAACGUGAGGUAAAGAAGACAGGAAUUCCAGGUUGAAGCCAUCAGGCUCCCAUCUGGUCACUAAGAAGAUGUUUAAGGCCACUUUCAACACUAUACUGAUAACGAAAAAGGAGAAAUCAUUGACGCUAGUAACUAGCAGAGACUGACCUCAAAUUGAGAUCUCUCAGACUCUAAAUUUAAGACACCUACUUCCAACAAUGUCUCUGUUGUAGGUCGACUUGUGUCCUCCCCCACCCCCAGAUUCAUGUUAAAGUCCUAACCCCAAGUAUCUGAGCUAUCUGGAAGCAAGGUUAUUAAAGAUGUAAUUCCUUAAGAUGAGAUCAUACCUGAUAAGGAUGGGCCCCCUAAUCCAACAGGAAUAAUAUCCUUACAAAAAGGGAAAAUAUGGACAUAGGCAUACACAUAGGAAAUGCCACAUGAAGUUGGAGGCAGAAACUGGGUGAUGGAGCAGAAGCCAAGGAAUGCCAAGGAUUGCCAGCAAACCACCAGAAGCCAGGAGAAAGACUGGGACAGAUUUUCCCUCACAUACCUCAGAAGGAGCCAACACUGCAGACACCUUGACUCUGAACUCCUUGUCUGCAGACUUUGAGACACUGAAUUUCCAAAGUUUAAACCACCUGGCUUAUGGUACUUUAUUAUGUCAGGCCUAGUAAACUAACACAGUCUCCUCUUUUCUCAUUCCCUUUCAUUAGUAUUAUCUGCAUAUUGAUUCUUUCAUAUGUAGAAUACCAAGUAAUUUUGAUUAUUUUUGAGGCCUUCCAAAAACUAAUAUAAUUUAUUUAGAAAAAUGGUCAUGAACUUCCAGCACUAUGGUAGUCUAGGUUACUCAAAACCACCUCCUUCUAUGAACAUAGAGGAAUGCUGGAUAAAAUAAGAGCAAAAAAUAUUUUAAAACAGUUAAAUUGAAAAGAAAUACAAGUUAGUCAGAGCUGAAGAGAAAUUUAGUAAACUAAAAAUAGAACUGAGGGUAUUACCUGUAAUUCAGCUCAGAGAAUCAUUUAGAGAUAACUGAAGUUAACACUUGAAGGGAAGGAUAUGAUGAAAAGUAAUAAUGCAUGUACAACAUUAAUUCAAUAAGGGAACAGACAGAAGAGGAAAGGGAGAAGCAAUAUUAAAAGUGCAAAUGGGAACUUCCCGGUGGUCCAUGGGCUGAGUCUGUGCUCCCAAUGCAGGGGGCCCAGGCUCGAUCCAUAAUCAGGGAACUAGAUCCCACGUGAGGCACUGAAGACAAAAGAUCUUGUGUGCCAGAACUAAGACCUGGUGCAGCCAAAUAAAUAAUUAAAAUAAUAUAUUUAUUAAAAAAACAAAGUGCAAAGGAUUCAAAAUUACCCAUAAUUGAAGAAAGGCAUGAGUGUUGAAGCAAAGCAAUGAGUAUCAAACGUGAUGAAUGAAGGACAAACCCAUACUUCAACAUUUCAUUAAGAAACUUCCUAAAUAUAAAAACCCCUAAAAUUCCUAAAAAUAAUGACUACUAUAUUGAAACAGUCCUACAAUCAACCUCAAUAAAGGAGAGAAGACAGGGAAAGUAUACAUUUAAUGUGUAAAAGGAAAAGAUCUGUCACUCUAGAAUUGUAUAUCCAGUUGGACUUUCCAUCAAGAGUGAGGUAAAAAUAGACAUUUUCAGUCAAAUUGCAGAGAAUGUAGCACUCACAGAUCUUACUGAAGGAAGUGCUACCAGAAGCACUUCAACAGAAUAAAAUUUAACUCAGAAGAAAAUGCUGAAUAUAAAAUACAAUAACAAGCAAAUACGUUAAUGAAUGUAUUGGUUAUAAAAAGGAGCCAGGCCUCGCUGUCCAUCACCAACUCCCAGAGUUCACUCAGACUCACGUCCAUCGAGUCAGU